rnacentral:tRNA from 1 species
GCCCCUGUGGCGGAAUUGGUAGACGCGGCAGACUCAAAAUCUGUUAUUGGAAACGAUGUGGGAGUUCGAGUCUCCCCGGGGGCACCA